UGAGGGCACAACAUUUCCUCCAAUGAAGUUUUAAGAAAACCUUCAAUUGCAGUGCCACAAAAAAAAAAAAAAAAAAAAAGAAGACCGCCCCAUAUCGUUCUCGAAUCUCCAGCGAGUCUGCAGGUCACUGAUUUUGAUUUUGCACUCUACUACAGGGAACCGGUCGCUAGUCGUCGGCGUCACUACGGCUCCGGACUUUCCAAGCUUAGCCUCCGGCUCAAAUUUUUCCUCUACUUUUUCUGGUGAUUUUGUAUGGCCUUCCUAAAAUGGGUUGGAAAGCAGCUGAGAAACUAAUUCGGCACUGGAAGAUUCUCAGAGGGGACAAUGCAAUGAUGAUCUGGACCAAGGAUAGGGGCAAGAUAGGGUUUAUUAAGCGCAUGAUUCACUCUCAGAAUCGUGUAAUUGUUGAGGGCAAAUAUCUGAAUGAAUUCAACCCCCAUGGUCCCUAUUUCUCAAGUAUGUCUGAAACAAUCCUGGUCCAGGCUCGAGAUCCUGCUAAACUGAAUAUGGAAAUAGAAAAUGCUAUCAGUGAGAAUAAAUUAGAAGAUACAUGGAAGUUACUUGAGCAGCAUAUGCAAAUAGAUGGCUUUCCUAGAAAAUCUAUCGUCAACAAGCUUCUAACCAGUUAUGUGGAAAGCCUGGAUGUGCAAUGGCUUGAAAAAGCUUAUGGGUUGGUAGAAAAGGCUAUUGAGGAAGGUAAACAGAACUUGUUAGAAAAGGAAGUACUUAUGUAUCUCUGCUUUGGUCUUGCCAAAGCUGGACUACCAAUUCCUGCUUCAACUGUCUUAAGAAAGAUGAUAGAUAUGGAGCAAUUUCCGCCAGUCACUGCAUGGUCUGCAGUUUUGGCCCACAUGUCACGAACAGUGGAUGGAAGUUAUCUUGCUGCUGAGUUGAUUCUUGAAAUAAGUUAUUUGUUCAAGAACAAUAGAGUGGAUCCACGCAAAAAGAGCAAUUCACCUUUGGUAGCUAUGAAGCCUGAUACUACUGCUUUUAAUAUUGCUCUGGCAGGGUGUCUGCUGUUUGAGACUACUAGGAAAGCAGAGCAGCUUCUUGACAUGAUGCCUCAAGUUGGUGUCAAGGCUGAUGCAAACUUACUAAUAAUAAUGGCACAUGUAUAUGAGAAGAAUGGACGAAGAGAAGAGCUUAAGAAGCUGCAAAGACAUAUAGAGGAAGCACCUAAUCUUACUGAUAUUCAGUUCCGCCAAUUCUUUAAUUGUUUGCUCUCUUGCCAUUUGAAAUUUGGGGACCUAAAUUCAACAUCAAACAUGGUUUUGGAAAUGCUAAGGAAAUCAAAGGAGGCAAAAAAUUCUCUUGCAGCUGCUAAAUUUAUAACUCAUGCACCUGAAAUUGAUUGUAAAUAUUCUCCCGGACUAGCUUCCAUGCUUAGUUUGAGUGACACUAAGGACUCAGAUUGUUUAGAAUAUGACAAGCCGAUGAGAAACACCAUCCUGUCUUAUGAAGAUUUCUCUGGAGAUCGGAAUUUCUUAAAACUUGAAGCUGAGUCAAAGGCUGUUCUUGGUUCUUUGUUUGCGAAGUUGCAGAGACAUGUUGACUUGAUUACAACAAAAUAUGGUAUACUCCAGCCAACUGAAUCAAUUUAUGUGAAACUGGUUAAAGGUUUUCUAGAAACUGGCAAAACCAAGGAUUUGGCGGAGUUUCUAAUCAAGGCAGAAAGAGAAGAUUCCCCGCUUUCCAAUGAUAGCUCAAUAUUGAUUCAUGUCAUUAAUACAUGUAUUUCACUGGGAUGGUUGGAUCAAGCACAUGACCUUCUUGAUGAGAUGCGGCUAACUGGAAUUAAAGCUGGCCCAUCUGUGUAUGCCUCUCUCUUGAAAGCCUAUUGUCAAGCAAAUAGGGCUGCAGAAGUCACUUCACUUUUAAGAGAUGCAAGGAAGGAUGGUAUCCAGCUGGACUCUAGUUCUUAUGAGGCAAUGAUCCAAUCCAGGGUGCUUCAGGAGGAUACAAGAGGAGCUCUCCGUUUAUUCAAAGAGAUGAAAGUGGCUAAAAUUCCAAAAGUUGGACAAGAAGACUCUAUCACGCUGCCUAAAAAUUAUGUACAGAAAGAUGAAUCUGGGUUGAUGAUGAAUCUGUUGCAGGAAAUCAAAGAAGGACAGAAAGUGAAUUAUGAGCUUCAUGAUUGGAAUAAUGUAAUCCAUUUUUUCUGUAAGAAGAAACUGAUGAAAGAUGCUGAAAAGGCUCUGAAGAAGAUGAGGAGCCUAGGCCACACACCAAAUGCACAAACUUUCCAUUCUAUGGUCACUGGGUAUGCUGCUAUUGGAGGGAACUAUCUGGAGGUAACAGAACUCUGGGGUGAGAUGAAAGCUCUUAAUUCUUCAGUCUCAAUGAAGUUUGAUCAGGAACUUCUCGAUUCAGUGCUAUAUACAUUUGUGAGGGGUGGAUUCUUCAGUCGAGCCAAUGAAGUUGUGGCAAUGAUGGAAAAAUCUAACAUGUUUAUUGACAAGUACAAGUAUCGGACGCUAUUCUUGAAGUAUCAUAAAACACUUUAUAAAGGCAAGGCUCCAAAGUUUCAGACAGUAGCCCAAUUAAACAAGAGGGAAGCAGCCCUGGCUUUUAAAAAUUGGGUCGGCUUGAGUUGAAGUCUUUGGCCAAGUAUUAGCUCUUGGAAUCUAUCAUCUUUGUGACUUUAGGCUGCUAAAAUUCAGUAAGAUGUAUAACAGAAAGCAAGGACAAGGUCAGGAACAGGGGAUCUUUUCAGUUGAAGCCUCGAGUCAUGCCUCAAACAUACUGCUUCUUGAUCCAAUGACAGUGUAUCACAUGCAUUCAUACACAAGACUCUAAUCUGUCGGCCUGCAGGAUGACAAAAUAAUAUCCUCUACUUGUCUCGCUAUUACAGGAAGCCUUGCUAGGUUGAAAUCAAUGUCUUUGAAGAUGGUCCAUGCUCCAUAAUCUGUGUGUCCCGAGAUCUUGAAGAUAAGAACCACCUCAACCGAUUUAGUCCGUUCAUAUCUUGUGGAAUGUAAUCCCCUUUUCUGUUUAAGCGAUCUUUUUAAGGCUGGCAAUAUCCCUUCCUUGUUCUCCGCUUCAUCUGCAUGAUCUGGGCUGUAACACUUGUCAUGGACGUGACAUUGAAGAGAAGUCUAUGCACUUGGAUGCAAUCGUGAAUGCGUUUGCCGGCCCUGAAUCUUACCCGCCGUCUCUUUAUAAAUCUGUUUCAUGUGCGGCGGGAACACUAGAUUUGUUAAUGAGUUCAAGAUCCAUCCCCCUCUUAUUUAUUUAUUUUUUUUAAAAAAGGCCUAUCCACCUUGUGCAUUUAACCAAUUUGUAUUUUAUAUCAUUGUUGCUGCUGGUCCCAGAUAUAGUGCGAUGAACAUCUUGUUAGAAUCGGGAGAAGAACUUAGGUGCUAAAAUAGAGAAGGAAUGCCUGACCUUUGAAGUGAUUA